AUUGAACGCUGGCGGCAGGCCUAACACAUGCAAGUCGAGCGGAUGAGAGGAGCUUGCUCUUUGAUUCAGCGGCGGACGGGUGAGUAAUGCCUAGGAAUCUGCCUGGUAGUGGGGGACAACGUUUCGAAAGGAACGCUAAUACCGCAUACGUCCUACGGGAGAAAGUGGGGAUCUUCGGACCUCACGCUAUCAGAUGAGCCUAGGUCGGAUUAGCUAGUUGGUGAGGUAAUGGCUCACCAAGGCGACGAUCCGUAAGUGGUCUGAGAGGAUGAUCAGUCACACUGGAACUGGGACAAGGUCCAGACUCCUACGGGAGGAAGCAGUGGGGAAUAUUGGACAAUGGGCGCAAGCCUGAUCCAGCCAUGCCACGUGUGUGAAGAAGGUCUUCGGAUUGUAAAGCACUUUAAGUUGGGAGGAAGGGCAGUAACUUAAUACGUUGCUGUUUUGACGUUACCGACAGAAUAAGCACCGGCUAACUCUGUGCCAGCCGCCGCCGUAA
rnacentral:rRNA from 1 species